UUUUAUAGGUUACAGAAAGAAAAAAUGGACGUACACUCUUUGCUACUUCUUAUUGAACUUGCAGGUUUGUACAAGACAGUUAAUCUAGCUGUUAUCAGA
rnacentral:ribozyme from 13 species